CCAGAAGAGAAUUCAGGUAGAGAUCAAGCCAGAGAAGCAAAAACCACCUGAAAACUUACAGAUUUCAAGAAAGCAGGAAGAAAGAAGCCGGAGGCCAUACGAGAAAGAAGAGGAGAUAUUUUAUGGAGUAAGCUGUCCUGCAAUGUAGGGAGGCAGUGGACUCUCUGUGGAAAAGGAUCUUGGUUUCCUGUUCAUGAGUGGGGCUAAGAGAAGUCACUCUAGCCUUCAACUGCAUCUGGAGACCUGGGUUCUAUCCCUAGCCUGGGAAGAUCCCACAUGCUGCAGAGCAACCAAGCCUG